rnacentral:lncRNA from 13 species
AUGCACAAUGCUGCAAGCCAGCCAGGUGGGAUUUGCAGCUCUGGUUCCGUGCUGGAUUGGGCUCAGGAGCAUUGUGCAGGGGCACUGAGGCGUGAGCUCCACCCACCUCCUCUCCUGGGGAGAGCUGUCCAGCUGUCCGGCUGUGCCAGGGGGCAGACUGGCACCAUUCCUGCCUCUGAGCUGUGCUUCUCCCACAGGCUGGGGUGGAGCAAAGCCCUGCUCAGCCCAGGUGAGGCUGAUCCCUUGGGAAUCAGUGAGCUGGGUACCCCCAUGGCUGCACUGAUCCUGCAGUCACUGUGCAAAGCCCAGAGCGAGCAUAUCCACCCCCAAACUGCUCUUCCCGUCCUUCUCCCUGCUCCCACAGGCUCAGCGAUGUUGGACAAAUCCGAGUUUUCAGUCUUGGGGAGUUUUCUGGUGUGGAGCCCCUGGGCUGUCCUGCACCACACCAGAGACUGCUGCUUUCAUCCACCCUGCAAAUUCAGACGUGGAAUGUGCUGCCUGAAGCUGUGGGAGCUGCCUGAAGCUGUGGGGGGCUGUCCGAGGCUGUGGAGAGUUCUCCGAGGCUGUGAGGGGCUGUCUGAGGCUGUGAGGGGCUGUCUGAAGCUGUGGGGGGCUGUCUGAAGCUGUGAGGGGCUGUCUGAAGUUGUGGGGGCUGUCUGAAGCUGUGGGGAGCUGUCCGAGGCUGUGAGGGGCUGUCCGAGGCUGUGAGGGGCUGUCUGAAGCUGUGGGGGGCUGUCCGAGGCUGUGGGGAGCUGUCUGAGGCUGUGAGGGGCUGUCUGAAGUUGUGGGGGCUGUCUGAAGCUGUGAGGGGCUGUCUGAAGUUGUGGGGGCUGUCUGAGGCUGUGGGGGCUGUCUGAGCCUGUGAGGGGCUGUCUGAGCCUGUGAGGGGCUGUCUGAAGCUGUGGGGGGCUGUCCGAGGCUGUGGGGAGCUGUCUGAGGCUGUGAGGGGCUGUCUGAAGUUGUGGGGGCUGUCUGAAGCUGUGAGGGGCUGUCUGAAGUUGUGGGGGCUGUCUGAGGCUGUGGGGGCUGUCUGAGCCUGUGAGGGGCUGUCUGAGCCUGUGAGGGGCUGUCUGAAGCUGUGGGGGGCUGUCCGAGGCUGUGGGGGGCUGUCUGAGCCUGUGAGGGGCUGUCUGAGCCUGUGAGGGGCUGUCUGAAGCUGUGGGGGGCUGUCCGAGGCUGUGGGGGGCUGUCUGAGCCUGUGAGGGGCUGUCUGAGCCUGUGAGGGGCUGUCUGAAGUUGUGGGGGCUGUCCGAGGCUGUGGGGGCUGUCUGAGGCUGUGAGGGGCUGUCUGAAGUUGUGGGGAGCUGUCUGAGGCUGUGGGGGCUGUCUGAAGUUGCGGGGAGCUGUCUGAGACUGUGGGGCUGUCAGAAGCUGUGGGGAGCUGCCUUCCUGUCACAGCAUGGCACUACUCCCUUUUUUUAUUGGGAAGAGAAAUUACACAUUUUGCUCCAAUGGCUCACGUGGCUUCCCCUGUAACUUCCACCACGUGCUGCCCACUGCCAAGGCAGCAGCCAGACCACUUCUGCCGGUUUUGGGGUGGAUCGGUGCCCAUGAUCCCGUGUGGCACAGGGGAUCACUCCUGGUGUAGUUCAGCAGUUCAGGUUGGGUUUGUGCAGCUGCGAGGCAGCGAUGCCUGCAGCCCUCGAGCAGCACCGAUCUGUGUGGUGUCACAUGUGAGCAGGGGGCUCUUGCUCUUGUUCUCUAAAAGCAAACAAGGUGAAAGGGGGCAGGUGGGAAGGUGUGGAAAGCUUGGCAGUGCUGCGGUUUUAAAUCUGGAGUCAGCUCAGGGUUAAUUAUUUUUUGAACCAGCAACUCUUCCUUGGGGCUUUCUCUUUUCCUGCUCAAUGCUAAGUUGAAUUUUUGUUCAUUGUGUUAUAAAUAAAGUAUGUAAUUCAUGCUAUUAUGUAUAAAACUGAAAUGUAAUAAGACCAUGCAGAGACAGUUUCAAAAUCCCUCCACCAGCCUGGCUGAGAGAAAAAUUUCACAACACUGAAAGAAGUUCUCUCACAGAUCUAAUCAAUAAGUGAGGAUUCCACCUAGGUGGGGUUGGAUCUUAUCACCGGGACAUUGACACCAUGACGACUUGAUCACCACCUUCUGAUAUCUACAUCUUAUCUGAAAAGGAAUCGCACAUUCCGGGAACUAAAAAUAACUGUUCCAGGAACCAGAGAUGGCCCAUCCAUCAUCAGAGAUGGCCCUUCCAUCACCAGAGAUGGCCCACUCAUCACCCAGGACGGACAAUUCAUCAGACCCAGGAAAGGCUUUGCGCAGCCCAACUUCGGGACAAGAAAACUUCAUGAAUAUGCUAAAAUUACGAGAAGAAUAGAAUUAAUUCGGACUCUGCCCAAAAACUGUAUAAGAAGGAACCAGCCGAAGCAGCACUCGUGAACUUGGGAGGUCUGGUGUGAUAGAGGUCAGACCUAUACGUGUUCACCCAGCUCCGACCCCAGGCUCGGGGCUGCUUUUCUCGAUCGUGGCUUUUGAGACCGAUAUUUUGGUCGCAUAAUAAAUGUUAUUUCUUUAUAAAUUUUGAUUGGACAAUUCUGUUUAUCUUAAUUGCUCAGUGUUUUGCUGUGGCAAUUCUGCCUGUCUCUGUCCUCUGUGGUUCAGUUCCAGUCUUUUUCCGGUUUUAUUUGGUUUUCCUGGUGUUUGUUACUGUUGUACCCUUAUCUUUCUUCAGAAAUAACACAAUAGAAAUCCAUUUGUGCCUCCAACAACUCCCAGGAGGGAGAGGUUUUUCAGGGUCUCUUAGACACACACCACCUUUGUUUGGAGCAAUGUUUAUAUCUGCCACUGCCUUGGCAGCUGGGCAUGGCCUGCACCAGCUGCUGCAGAUGGACUGGCUGGCACCGAGCUCCUGGAAUAUGGAAAAAGAUGGAGUGGAGCUCCUUGAUUCCUCUCUCUGAGAAAGGAAAUAAUUUACCCCUGUUACUGCUGGUAAUUGUCAAACAGCCACAGAGCGGCGUGUGGGGCAGCCCUGGCCCUGGCAAAGGGAUGUGCUGCCUUUGGCCACUCCUUCCUGGUGUGCUCAGCUAUUCCACAGCCACUCCUGAAUCCUGCACCUCCUGUCCUGCUUUGCGCUGGGAUUUGGGAGCCUGUCCCUGGAGACAAGUGUGGUACAAACCAGGGUGGAGCUGGAGCAGGGACGGGGAUGCUGCAGGGAGCAUGGGCUGCGCUGGAGCCUGGGAUUAAUGCACAGGAGGCACUGACUGCGCAGGGGCCUCGUUAGGACAGCGCUAAUGACGCAAGGCAGCCUCGAUGCAAAUGAACUCCAAAUGGGUUAAUCAAUAGGAGGAAAAAAUCCGUGGAGCUGCUGCUUUGGGUGCCCUGGUCCCACUCCUGCCCUGCCCGUGUGUUCCCAAGGGAGGAGCUGCAGCAGGAAUGUCCUGCAUCCUGCAGGGUUGGCACCUUCCCCUUGCCAUGGAGCUGAGCAGGGGCUCCAGCAGCCCUUGGCCACCGCAGCUCGAGGGGCUGCAUGCACUGGGAACCAAAACCCUGAGCCACAGCUCCUGCCAGGCCUGCAGACAGACGGCUGUCAGUGAUUGAACACGGACUUUGCCGGGUACUUGCAAAGCCAAAUUUUCCUGCACAAGGCACAUCUUUAUAUACUGUUACAAACCAACAGUUCAGCAGCUACACAACUUCAGUUUCUAAGGUUACAGGUUUUACAUCUCCAACGGCCCCCGAUUACAAUCUCCUCGCCCAAUCUCUUUGUUUCACCUCCUGCUCUUUGUCUUGCCUCUGCCAGAUGCGGCCUGCCCGUCUCUCCCAAGGCCCCACAGCAGACAGAGCCAUUCUCCGUGGUGACACUCUGAACCUCCACACCUCCCCCUUUCCUCUUCAGCAAUUAAAACCUGCAAAAACUCUAUGUCUAUGUGGGUCUAACAUGAAGGGGGAGGUGAAACCAUCGCUCCAGGGUCAUCAAAGCUCGUGUUCGAUGCUUUUGCGUUCCCCGUCCUCGCGUUGGUCACUCUCAGGUGGCGUUGGUCUUUUCUCUCUGUAUGGGCGAAUGUUCUUUGCAGGGAUCCACUUAGGUCCUGUAUCUGUGGAAAUACAAGCAUAACCUCUCCCCCAUGUAAUAACAGGGAAAGGUCCAAGUACUUUGCCUGAUUCCAAGUCCUUUACUAGGAUUGGGGCUUUAAUUUCAGUGGCUGCUGCACUCUGUCCAAAAUGCCACAUUAUGGGCAGAGUUUUGCUAUCUGAAUAACAAUUUAAAACAUUAAAAACAUAUAAGGCUUUGUGUAAUCUACCUUGAGGUGUUGCACUCUUCAUUCCCCCUCUCUGUUGCCCCAAUAAGCGUUUUAGUUUACUGUGAGCCCGUUCUAUGAGGGCUUGUCCUGUGGGGGAGUGAGGAAUUCCUGUGAUAUGCUGUAUUUCCCAUGAGGCAAAAAAGGUAGCCAAAGAAUAGGAAAUGUCCACAGGGC